rnacentral:rRNA from 1 species
GAUGAACGCUGGCGGCGUGCUUAACACAUGCAAGUCGAACGGAGAUUGUAAACGGAAGUUUUCGGAUGGAAGUUUAUAAUCUUAGUGGCGGACGGGUGAGUAACGCGUGGGUAACCUGCCGUAUACAGGGGGAUAACACUUAGAAAUAGGUGCUAAUACCGCAUAAGCGCACAGCUUCGCAUGAAGCAGUGUGAAAAGCCUUGACGGUAUACGAUGGACCCGCGUCUGAUUAGCUAGUUGGUGAGGUAACGGCUCACCAAGGCGACGAUCAGUAGCCGGCCUGAGAGGGGGACCGGCCACAUUGGGACUGAGACACGGCCCAAACUCCUGCGGGAGGCAGCAGUGGGGAAUAUUGCACAAUGGGGGAAACCCUGAUGCAGCGACGCCGCGUGAGUGAAGAAGUAUUUCGGUAUGUAAAGCUCUAUCAGAAGGGAAGAAAAUGACGGUACCUGACUAAGAAGCCCCGGCUAACUACGUGCCAGCCGCCGCCGUAAUAC